rnacentral:rRNA from 1 species
CCCAACCCAAUGUGAACGUUACCAAACUGUUGCCUCGGCGGGGUCACGCCCCGGGUGCGUCGCAGCCCCGGAACCAGGCGCCCGCCGGAGGAACCAACCAAACUCUUUCUGUAGUCCCCUCGCGGACGUAUUUCUUACAGCUCUGAGCAAAAAUUCAAAAUGAAUCAAAACUUUCAACAACGGAUCUCUUGGUUCUGGCAUCGAUGAAGAACGCAGCGAAAUGCGAUAAGUAAUGUGAAUUGCAGAAUUCAGUGAAUCAUCGAAUCUUUGAACGCACAUUGCGCCCGCCAGUAUUCUGGCGGGCAUGCCUGUCCGAGCGUCAUUUCAACCCUCGAACCCCUCCGGGGGAUCGGCGUUGGGGAUCGGGACCCCUCACACGGGUGCCGGCCCCGAAAUACAGUGGCGGUCUCGCCGCAGCCUCUCCUGCGCAGUAGUUUGCACAACUCGCACCGGGAGCGCGGCGCGUCCACGUCCGUAAAACACCCAACUUUCUGAAAUGUUGACCUCGGAUCAGGUAGGAAUACCCGCUGAACUUAAGCAUAUCAAUAAGCGGAGGAA